GAUAAACCAAUAAAUUAAAUUAAAAUUAAAAGAGAGAAAAAUUAACAAAAUCGUACAUGAUUUGAAGCAAAAGAGAAGGGGAUCUGAUGGGCUCUUCAAAUUAAAGGGGAAGACCAACCCUGCGAGGUUUGGGACAAACGACGCCGUUAGAAUCACCCUUCUUUGCCAUGUUUCCAACACAACCCACCAAUGAAUUCUGUUGGUAUACACACCGGUUCAUGGUUUUUGCCUUAUCAUUCACAAAUCCAAAGCCUAAAUGACAAACAAAAACACCCAACUUCAGAUCUAUACAUACAGAUUACAUAAGCACAUAUAAACAAAAAAUCAAAAAGAUAUGCAUAAUUUUUGAAAAUAACUGGUAUACACAAAGAGAAGUCAGGCAAGCUCUAAAAUAGAGUCACCACCACAAAAUAGUCACUACCGCAC
rnacentral:lncRNA from 1 species